rnacentral:rRNA from 1 species
AAUGCUUGGGAAUCUGCCUUUGCGAGGGGGACAACAGUUGGAAACGACUGCUAAUACCGCAUAAUGUCUUCGGACCAAAGGGGGCUUUCGGGCUCUCGCGCAAAGAGGGGCCCAAGUGAGAUUAGCUGGUUGGUAGGGUAAAGGCCUACCAAGGCGACGAUCUCUAGCUGUUCUGAGAGGAAGAUCAGCCACACUGGGACUGAGACACGGCCCAGACUCCUACGGGAGGCAGCAGUGGGGAAUAUUGGACAAUGG